UUUUCUUUUCCAAAAAAAUAGUUUAUAAGGACAUGUUUUUUAAUCAGUUCUACAAUGGUUAAUAUUUUUUACUUUUGGCUAAGAAAAUGUUUACUCUCUGCUUCCUAUUGUACAGGUCGAAAUAGUUGCACCCUCACCUCCAUAUUGGUGCAAAGUAAUGAAGUAAACAAUGAUAAAGAAAAUGCUAAAAAGAAAAAGAAAGUUGGAGAAGCAUCCACAUUGGCCGCAACCAUUGGUAAGGAAAUACCAUACUCACUCAAGGUUGUUUGGUCCAUCAUACGUACGUUUUAGCCCACUUAUAACAAAAACAUGUUAAUCCAAGUGAUUCAAUUUUGUGCUGGAAGAUUUUCUCUGUCCUUUUAUGUACAUAGAUAGAUAGAUAGAUACAUUUUAGUGCAAAUGAUUCAUGAGUUUCAUUUUAGAAUGUUUUCUUGUAAUUAAAUUGUUAAUGAAGAUGAUGUGUUUUUUUCAUUCCUUUUCCAAACAUAAAGGACAAAAAAUUCCAGUAUAUGUGACAGAGAAAGGAGGGAACAUCUCAU
rnacentral:lncRNA from 1 species